rnacentral:rRNA from 1 species
AUUGAACGCUGGCGGCAUGCCUUACACAUGCAAGUCGAACGGCAGCACGGGGCAACCUGGUGGCGAGUGGCGAACGGGUGAGUAAUGCAUCGGAACGUGCCAUUGAGUGGGGGAUAACGUAGCGAAAGUUGCGCUAAUACCGCAUAUUCUGUGAGCAGGAAAGCAGGGGACCGCAAGGCCUUGCGCUCUUUGAGCGGCCGAUGUCAGAUUAGCUAGUUGGUGAGGUAACGGCUUACCAAGGCGACGAUCUGUAGCGGGUCUGAGAGGAUGAUCCGCCACACUGGAACUGAGACACGGUCCAGACUCCUACGGGAGGCAGCAGUGGGGAAUUUUGGACAAUGGGCGCAAGCCUGAUCCAGCCAUGCCGCGUGAGUGAAGAA